UGGGGAAUCUUGCGCAAUGCGCGAAAGCGUGACGCAGCAACGCCGCGUGGGGGAAGACGGCCUUCGGGUUGUAAACCCCUUUCAGGAGGGACGAAGGUUCACCGGUGAAUAGCCGUGUGGAUUGACGGUACCUCCACAAGAAGCUCCGGCUAACUACGUGCCAGCAGCCGCGGUAAUACGUAGGGAGCAAGCGUUGUCCGGAAUCAUUGGGCGUAAAGCGCGCGUAGGUGGCUUCGUAAGUCCGUUGUGAAAGUCAAAGGCUCAACCUUUGAAAGCCGAUGGAUACUGCGGAGCUAGAGUACGGAAGAGGCGAGUGGAAUUCCUGGUGUAGCGGUGGAAUGCGCAGAUAUCAGGAGGAACACCAAUAGCGAAGGCAGCUCGCUGGGACGUUACUGACACUGAGGCGCGAAAGCGUGGGGAGCGAAC
rnacentral:rRNA from 1 species